rnacentral:rRNA from 1 species
CACCGCGGUUAUACGAGAGGCCCCAGUUGAUGGACACGGCGUAAAGGGUGGUUAAGGUAAGACUAAAAUAAAGCUAAAGGAUUUCUUGGCUGUCAUACGCCCCUGAAACCCCGAAGUCCAACCACGAAAGUAGCUUUAGCACAAGCCCACCUGACCCCACGAAAGCUGAGGAA